GACGAACGCUGGCGGCAGGCUUAACACAUGCAAGUCGAACGGGAAGCAGGACUUCGGUUCUGUGGAGAGUGGCGCACGGGUGAGUAACGCGUGGGUAUCUGCCUUGAAGUGGGGGACAACCGCUGGAAACGGCGGCUAAUACCGCAUACGCCCUUCGGGGAAAGCUUUAUGCGCUUCGAGAUGAACCCGCGUUGGAUUAGCUUGUUGGUGAGGUAACGGCUCACCAAGGCAUCGAUCCAUAGCUGGUCUGAGAGGAUGAUCAGCCACACUGGGACUGAGACACGGCCCAG
rnacentral:rRNA from 1 species